rnacentral:rRNA from 1 species
AGCGAACGCUGGCGGCAGGCCUAACACAUGCAAGUCGAGCGCCCCGCAAGGGGAGCGGCAGACGGGAGAGUAACACGUGGGAACGUACCUUUCAGUUCGGAACAACCAAAGGAAACUUUGGCUAAUACCGGAUACGCCCGUAAGGGGAAAGAUUCAUCGCUGAAAGAUCGGCCCGCGUCUGAUUAGCUAGUUGGUGGGGUAAUGGCCCACCAAGGCGACGAUCAGUAGCUGGUCUGAGAGGAUGAUCAGCCUCACUGGGACUGAGACAAGGCCCAGACUCCUUCGGGAGGCGGCAGUGGGGAAUAUUGGACAAUGGGCGCAAGCCUGAUCCAGCCAUGCCGCGUGGAUGAUGAAGGCCUUAGGGUUGUAAAGUCCUUUUAACGGGGAAGAUAAUGACGGUACCCGUAGAAUAAGCCCCGGCUAACUUCGUGCCAGCCGCCGCCGUAACAC